rnacentral:lncRNA from 1 species
AAGAAAAACCAGGCUGCUGCACAGAGGGUUUGCUGCUGCCUUUUUAAUUCUCUGCUUCUCUAUUCUCUACUGUAUUUCUGAUUUUUUCUGCAUUUUUAGUGCUGGCAGCUGCAAAAUAUUUAGAGAAUGGGCCAAGACCAACAUAAAACAUUUGGGCCAAAAUGCAAUACAUUUGGACUUAAAUUAUAAAGAGUCCAAAUUAAAAUAUAGGAGCCCAAAAAGAAUGGGCCAAGACCAACAUAAAACAUUUGGGCCAAAAUGCAAUACAUUUGGACUUAAAUUAUAAAGAGUCCGAAUUAAAAUAUAGGAGCCCAAAAUAAUUGGGCUCUUCCUCCAUGUAGGAGGGAAAAUUCCCAACAAAUC